rnacentral:rRNA from 1 species
AUGCAAGGGCAUCACCCCAUUGCCUAUUUGAGAAAGGCUCUGGGCCCCAAGCUGAGGGCGCUGUCUACCUAUGAGAAGGAGUGCUUGGCAAUUUUGAUGGCUGUGGAUCGCUGGCGAUCAUAUUUAUUGCUCUCGCCUUUCACCAUACGGACUGAUCAUUGUAGCAUGUCUUGUUUAGAUGAGCAGCGUCUGACAACUCUGUGGCAGCAUAAAGCAUUGACCAAGCUCCUUGGUCUUUAGUAUACCAUUGAAUACCGCGUGGCUCCACAAAUCAAGCUACAAAUGCACUUUCGCGCAGAUACGUUGGAGACGUAUCAACUUGAAAUUAGUCUUGAUAACCCACAAGUGUAG